UGCGUAACACGUAUAUAAUCUGCCCAUAACUGGGGGAUAGCCCGAAGAAAUUCGGAUUAAUACCCCAUAACAUUAUUUGAAGGCAUCUUUAGAUAAUUAAAGCUCCGGCGGUUAUGGAUGAAUAUGCGACUGAUUAGCUAGUUGGUGAGGUAACGGCUCACCAAGGCAACGAUCAGUAGGGGUACUGAGAGGUUAAACCCCCACACUGGUACUGAGACACGGACCAG
rnacentral:rRNA from 1 species